rnacentral:sRNA from 1 species
AAUUAAGAAUAUAAUAUUAUGUAUGUAUAAAUUAAUAAAGUAGUAUGUAAGGGUUGAGAAAAGAUAAUUUUGGGGUGGAGUAGUCUGCGAGAUGAUUUAGUAUCACUUCAUUUAGUUUUUACUCAUUUGUAUAUUUUUGUUAUAUAUCUUUUCUAAAAAAUAGAUUCUAAUUCUGAGAUUUAUUAAAUAGAAAAUUAUGUUUUUUUCUACAUACAACAUAGUUUGAAAUUUUAAAAUCGGAAUUGUAUUUAUAAAAUAGUAAAUAGUUUGUAAGUAAAUUUAUAUUGUACUAUUUAUGAUGCAUAGAAAUAAAAUGUUGUACUAUACUAUUUUCAGAUCCCCAUUGAAAAACUAUAUCCUGAGAGAUACAAUAUUGGGAACCCAAGCAAGCGAGGUAAACUAUUGUGGUGACGUUGACGAUAGCGAUAAUGGUGGGGUUGACGGUAGUAAUGGUGAUGAUGAUAACGAUUGUAGUGGUGGUACUAAUGGUAAAAAUGAUGGUGGUAGUGGCGGCAAUACGGUUAUAGCAGUGAACUAGUGAUAUGGAUAAUGGUGAAUUGUUAAUGGAGGUGAUUGUUUAAUAAAUAGGUGAUAGUUGUAUUAUAAAUUUUAUUAUGUGUAAUAUUUUUUUUGGUUAGAAUAGAAUAGAAGUAAAAAACAUUAAGAAAAAAGUAUAAUAAGAGAGAAGAAAAAUACGUUAUGAGAGAAGGAGGAGAGAGAGAUGGAGAGAGAGAGGGGAAAGAGAGGGAGAGAGAAGGGGUAAAAUUGUGAUUAAUACACAAAAUAUAUAGAAUAUCAUCUUUUUUUUUUGUUUUGAUAUUCUUUUGUUAAUUAAAGUUUUUUUGUGUUAUAUUUGCAAAUUUCCCUAUUCUUUUUUUUUGUUUGUUUUAUUGAUAAUACUAGUAUUUUACCCGGGACAAAAAACUAAAAUCAAAUGCAAUGUAAUUUUACAUUAUUGUAAUAUUUUUGAUAAUCAUUCAACAGAUUAUUAAAACCUUUAGUUCUACAAUUAAAACUAAUUAUAUAUAUUUUUUGCAUCUAAAGAUUGAGGUUGAUAAGAGAGCAGUAGAGAUCCCAUCAUAAAGGGUUUGGAAAAUAAAAGUAGAUCUUUAUACUAUCUACAAGUCCUAGUUAUUUUUCUGUUUUUUAGAUAAUAUAU